UACGGGGGGGGCAAGCGUUGUUCGGAAUUACUGGGCGUAAAGGGCUCGUAGGUGGCCAACUAAGUCGGACGUGAAAUCCCCAGGCUCAACUUGGGAACUGCGUCUGAUACUGGAUGGCUUGAAUCCGGGAGAGGGAUGCAGAAUUCCAGGUGUAGCGGUGAAAUGCGCAGAUAUCAGGAGGAACACCGGUGGCGAAGGCGGGUCUCUGGGCCGAUACUGACGCUGAGGAGCGAAAGCGUGGGGAGCGAACAGG
rnacentral:rRNA from 1 species